UUGCUCACGCUAUAACAGAUAGGUGCACCCCAUACAGAAACAGACAGUCGAUAUAAUCGACAACAAUCAUCAGAAAUCACGCGAUAUUAAUCAGACAGUGGGGCGCCGUCUGAUCCACUAGUUGCAUGUGAACAGUAUGGGUGCUUAAAGCCACUGUUCUGGCCUUUUGUACCAACCUUGGUGGAACAACAGGCAACAACUGUGGGCUGACAGGGAAUCAUAGUGCCUGGUCAUCUGGCAGCUUUUCGGAGUGCUGCUGCUCUGUUGGCUGCUGGGCUGAUGUGAGACUUCCCAAAGCAAUGGAUGGCAGACACAAGACUUGAUGGAUUGCCUUUAAUUACAUUAAAUUGCUUCGCCAUUGCCUCCAGUGCCUCACUGAAGUUGUCAUCGAUACUCAGCCUAUUUAAGUCAUCCAGCAUUCCAGCAACCAGGCAAACCUGCAGCUUCACAGUCAAACGGGUUUGUCAAGGCUAGGAUGCAAGGAGUUAUUCAACCAGAAGUCUAGUAUGUAUGUUUUUAUUUUAAGUAACUAUUAAAAUGUACUGUAUGUGAUUCAACAAUUAAAUAACGGUCCUGCUCCGCUUUUAAGCAAGCUUAAAAAAUGUAACCUCCUAAAAGUCAGGCAGAGUUCUGGAUACAAGGGUUGACAUUUGAUUUAUAAAAACAUGUGUGGUAACUGCCUUGUUGGUUUACAUUGUUGAUAUUCAAGUAAGCAGAUUUCUUGAUUCUGGAUCACUGGUAGAAGCUUGAAAUAAUGUGUACACUUGAUUUUCCUUCACUAAAGCCUUAAUUCUGUUUAGAUGAAGCAGGUGGACUUGGCAGAGUUCCAUACAUGGCUGUGGCUGCCAAGAAGGUGGCCAUUGAGGUAAAGGGCAUGCCAGGUGGGAUAGAGUUUUUUAAAAAGCCCUCCCACUAUGGCAUGGACCAACUAUCUACCAUUUCGGAGGCAGGCGGUGGCAUCAAGUUCACAAUAAGUAAGAUGCAAGGCUUUCAACAAUGUUUCAAUGGAGAAUUGUAAUGUCUUGGUCAUUGAGAUGAACAACAUUGACAUGUACAGGACAUUCCCUUUGAACAGAUACCCAUUGUGGCCAUUGCUCUCAUUAAAGGCAACGGUGGGCUUUGCUAUAAAUGGCCAUCCACCACUUGUUGUCUUUUGGGCCAAUGUGUCUGCUGAUUUUGAAAAUAGUCAUUUCAGAAUUAGAAAUUGGGUAAAUUUGUGUGAGCUCAUUUACCACACUACAUAAUGGAUGAGGUGUUUCAAGUGCAGACAGUAAAUUAAAAACACAUCUGUUUGUCAUUUGUUCAAAAUGUACUGUAAAUGUAGCCAACAAGUCAACCUGUAUUUUGUCUUUUAUGAAGAACAUACUUUAUUACUUUACACUUUAUUACUUUACAAUUUAUCACUUUGUAAUUGUCUGUAUUUUUUUCAGUCAUACAACAUGCAUCCUUGCAGUUGCAAUGAACUCCAUUAUUACUUAUCCAUGAUGAAUAGUUUUUUAAUAAAUGGUUUUUAAACAUU